GACGUAGGGCGCGAGCGUUGUCCGGAUUUAUUGGGCGUAAAGAGCUCGUAGGCGGCUUGUCGCGUCGAAUGUGAAAUCUCAGGGCUCAACUCUGACAUUGCAUUCGAUACGGGCAGGCUAGAGUCGGUAGGGGAGACUGGAAUUCCUGGUGUAGCGGUGAAAUGCGCAGAUAUCAGGAGGAACACCAGUGGCGAAGGCGG
rnacentral:rRNA from 1 species